rnacentral:rRNA from 1 species
AUGAACGCUGGCGGCGUGCCUAAUACAUGCAGGUCGAGCGCACAGACGAGGAGCUUGCUCCUUUGACGUUAGCGGCGGACGGGUGAGUAACACGUGGGUAACCUACCUAUAAGACUGGGAUAACUUCGGGAAACCGGAGCUAAUACCGGAUAAUAUUUCGAACCGCAUGGUUCGAUAGUGAAAGAUGGCUUUGCUAUCACUUAUAGAUGGACCUGCGCCGUAUUAGCUAGUUGGUAAGGUAACGGCUUACCAAGGCAACGAUACGUAGCCGACCUGAGAGGGUGAUCGGCCACACUGGAACUGAGACACGGUCCAGACUCCUACGGGAGGCAGCAGUAGGGAAUCUUCCGCAAUGGGCGAAAGCCUGACGGAGCAACGCCGCGUGAGUGAUGAAGGUCUUCGGAUCGUAAAACUCUGUUAUUAGGGAAGAACAAACGUGUAAGUAACUGUGCACGUCUUGACGGUACCUAAUCAGAAAGCCACGGCUAACUACGUG